rnacentral:rRNA from 1 species
AUAACGGUCCUAAGGUAGCGAAAUUCCUUGUCGGGUAAGUUCCGACCUGCACGAAUGGCGUAACGACUUCCCCGCUGUCUCCAACAUCGACUCAGCGAAAUUGAAUUGCCUGUCAAGAUGCAGGCUUCCCGCGGUUAGACGGAAAGACCCCGUGCACCUUUACUACAGCUUCACACUGGUAUUCGUCACGACAUGUGUAGGAUAGGUGGUAGACGUUGAAGCAGGAGCGCCAGCUCUUGUGGAGUCACCCUUGAAAUACCACCCUUGUCGUCAUGGAUAUCUAACCGCGGUACAACAAUAUCCGGGACCGUGUGUGGCGGGUAGUUUGACUGGGGCGGUCGCCUCCCAAAAAGUAACGGAGGCGUACAAAGGUAUCCUCAGGCUGUUUAGAAAUCAGCUGUGGCGUGCAAAGGCAUAAGGAUGCUUGACUGCAAGACCUACAAGUCGAGCAGGGACGAAAGUCGGUCUUAGUGAUCCGACGGUUCCGUGUGGAAGGGCCGUCGCUCAACGGAUAAAAGUUACUCUAGGGAUAACAGGCUGAUCUCCCCCAAGAGUUCACAUCGACGGGGAGGUUUGGCACCUCGAUGUCGGCUCAUCACAUCCUGGGGCUGAAGCCGGUCCCAAGGGUAUGGCUGUUCGCCAUUUAAAGUGGUACGCGAGCUGGGUUUAGAACGUCGUGAGACAGUUCGGUCCCUAUCUGCCGUGGACGUUGGAGAUUUGAGGAAAGCUGCUCCUAGUACGAGAGGACCGGAGUGGACGAACCUCUGGUGUUCGGGUUGUGACGCCAGUCGCAUUGCCCGGUAGCUAUGUUCGGACAGGAUAACCGCUGAAAGCAUCUAAGCGGGAAGCCCCUUCCAAGAUGAGAUCUCCCUGGACCCUCGAGGUCCCUGAAGAGCCGUUCAAGACCAGGACGUUGAUAGGUCGGGUGUGUAAGCGCUGCGAGGCGUUGAGCUAACCGAUACUAAUUGCUCGUGCG